ACAAACUUGGUCAUUUAGAGGAAGUAAAAGUCGUAACAAGGUUUCCGUAGGUGAACCUGCGGAAGGAUCAUUAACAAAUCCGUGCCCGCUCCGGCGGCACAUAUGCUCCGCGCGUUGCAAGACGCGCGUGACACAUUUUAACGUUUGUCCGAAGGGUUCUGUGUGCGGCACGGUGGGUGCAUAUAAUACAUUCGUGUUGUAUAUUAUAUAUAAUGACACAUUGCAUGUGUGCCAUCGUGUCCCGCCGGGACAGCAACAGAAAUCAAAACAACUUUUAACAAUGGAUCUCUAGGCUCCUGCAUCGAUGAAGAACGCAGC
rnacentral:misc_RNA from 1 species